rnacentral:rRNA from 1 species
GGCGGCGCGGCGCUUCCUGGCAGCGACCGGCGCACGGGCUUACGGCCGAGGCGCAGGACGAACUCGUCCGCGAGACGCUGGCCGUCCUCGACCAUCCGGAAUUCGCCGAUCUCUUCACCGGCAACGGCGUCGCCGAAUCGCCGAUCGUGGGACGGCUCGUGCACGCGCGUGCUGUCGGGGCAGAUCGACCGCGUCGUCGUCGCGCGCGAUGCCGUGUUCGUACUCGACUACAGGACCAACCGGCCGGUACCGCGCGAUCCCGACGACGUGCCCAGCGUCUACCUUGCGCAGAUGGCCGCAUACCGCGCCGCGGUACAGACCAUCUAUCCGGACCGGCAGAUCCGCUGCUGCCUACUCUGGACCGACGGUCCCCGCCUGAUGGAACUGCCGGCCGACUCCUCGACCGGCACGCGCCGCACUGAGGCGAACAGAUAGAGGACCGACGUCAGCCGCCGCGGUAAUACA